UGUCGCUAAAAUCGACGGAUCUUCAGGAAUUCCUCCCUCCUUUCAAUCUUUCACAGCAACCUCUCUGCGAUCUGAUGGCAACAAAGGCGUUAACGAAAGAGGCAAUUGCAAUGACUGAGAAGAAGAUGAACAUGAGCUUAGAUGAUAUUAUUAAAAUGUCGAAGAAAAAUUCUGCUAAAGGGAAAAGACCUCCGAGGCCUCCUGUGAGUGAAUAUAUUCUUGCCAGGAAAGUUUUAUUUUCCUUCAAAUUAUUAAACAGUUGAUGACAAAAUUCCUUGACUUUAGAUUAAACACCAAGGCUUUCAGAAUAGGAAUCCUUCCCAUGGUAACAUCGUGCUACAGGGAUUCAUGGAUUCCAGAUCUUCAAUUAGACAGGGUGUGCUUGCAAAGAGAAGGUCAAAUUUUCAUGGGAAUCAAUUCCCAGUAAUCACAGAGGUGGCUAGGAAGGCUGCUUCCGUGUUUACCAUUUCUUGAUUUUUGACUUG